CUUAUGCAGGCUAUGGGCGGCGGGGCAAAUAGGGCAGCUGCUUUGGGCCCCCAAGGAGUAACUGGGCCCGGGGCAGCUGCCCCGUUUGCCCCGCGUUAAAGACGGCCCUGCCCAGAUUUAGGCAUUACAGUGUAGUCCAUUUGCAAAUCUGACAUUGGGAGUCCUCCCAUAUAUUGAACUCCAGGGGGUUUGACUGGGCCUUGACUUGCAUUGUUUCGAGCACACAAAACACAUCUUCGAACAAUAGCUUGAGUAAGAUUGGAUAAUCUUGGUAUGUAGAAAUGUUUCCUGAGAGAUUCUUCC